rnacentral:tRNA from 2 species
GGCCAGGUGAUGAAACUGGUAGACAUGCGGCUCUCAAAAAGCCGUGCUUGAUGCGUGAGGGUUCGAAUCCCUCCCUGGCUA